GACGAACGCUGGCGGCGUGCUUAACACAUGCAAGUCGAACGGAAAGGCCUGCUUUCCCUUGUGGAUUGCGGGUACUCGAGUGGCGAAAGGGUGAGUAACACGUGAGUGAUCUGCCCCCAACUUGGGUAUAAGCCUGGGAAACUGGGUCUAAUUCCCGAUAGGACUGCAGGGUGGUGCCUGUGGUGGAAAACGAUUUUCUAGUGGUUGGGGAUGAGCUCGCGGCCUAUCAGCUUGUUGGUGGGGUAAUGGCCUACCAAGGCGGCGACGGGUAGCCGGCCUGAGAGGGUGGACGGCCACAUUGGGACUGAGAUACGGCCCAGACUCCUACGGGAGGCAGCAGUGGGGAAUAUUGCACAAUGGGCGGAAGCCUGAUGCAGCGACGCCGCGUGGGGGAUGACGGCCUUCGGGUUGUAAACUCCUUUCGACCGCGAGGAAGCCACCUGGUUGGAAGGGUGGUGACGGUAGUGGUAGAAGAAGCACCGGCUAACUACGUG
rnacentral:rRNA from 1 species